rnacentral:rRNA from 1 species
UACGAAGGGGGAGCUAGCGUUGCUCGGAAUCACUGGGCGUAAAGGGUGCGUAGGCGGGUCUUUAAGUCAGGGGUGAAAUCCUGGAGCUCAACUCCAGAACUGCCUUUGAUACUGAAGAUCUUGAGUUCGGGAGAGGUGAGUGGAACUGCGAGUGUAGAGGUGAAAUUCGUAGAUAUUCGCAAGAACACCAGUGGCGAAGGCGGCUCACUGGCCCGAUACUGACGCUGAGGCACGAAAGCGUGGGGAGCAACAGG